GCCCAUUCAACUACAAAGUGCGAAAAACAAUGAAUUGUGGGGACCCUGAAAAUUUCACAGAAACUUCCCAUGGGUAGAUGAGUAACUUUCACAUUUUCCCCUUUUUUAAUAUAAAUCUAUAAAUACAUUUUGACUCCAUUAAAUUGGAGUGAGAAUAUUAACUUGGAAAAUAUACAAACAAUUGAACUUUUGUAAUUGCUGAAGCUCUAAAUUAGCAAGUAGCAUACAAAACCUGCUUCUAAAAUCACCAGUCCAGAAUAUAUUCGCAGGAUGAACAAGCUUUUGAAACUUGAGAAGACAUUGACAUGACAAGGAUGAGGCAGAGAACUCACCACUGCAACAAACUCUUGCUGCCAGUCAUCUACUUGAGCCUGUAAGAGUCAAUUUCCUUCAAUUAAGCUGUGUUAUUAGCAUUGCGCACAGAAAAAAAUGCGAGGUUCUUCCAAUUCUCCAUGUUAUCUAAGGAUAUGGUUACUUUUAGCACCAUGUUUAAUCAAGUUGGGUAUAGAUGAAGAGCUGCCAUGAUUUAUGCUGUGACCUGAGCAUGGAGGAGAUGGAGUGGGAAAAACCUCAAGAAUAGAACGAGGAGAAUAACAAGGAGGCUGCCAUUACUGUUAAGUUGGAAGUUUCACGAUGAGAUCCUUGGGCAGUCUCGCUGAAGAAAGAGAAUAAUGCAUGAAGCUGUCAGAAGCCACCUUUCCCUUUUCAGA
rnacentral:misc_RNA from 1 species